rnacentral:rRNA from 2 species
GGACUACAAGGGUAUCUAAUCCUGUUUGCUACCCACGCUUUCGUGUCUCAGUGUCAGUUCAGGCCCAGGUGAUUGCCUUCGCCAUCGAUGUUCCUCCCGAUAUCUACGCAUUUCACCGCUACACCGGGAAUUCCGUCACCCUCUACCGAACUCUAGCUCUCCAGUAUCGACUGCAAUUCCCAGGUUGAGCCCAGGGCUUUCACAAUCGACUUAGCGAGCCACCUACUCACGCUUUACGCCCAGUAAAUCCGAUUAACGCUUGCACCCUCUGUAUUACCGCGGCGGCUGGCAC